AGGUUAAUUUUAUCUCUCUGGGCCUUCAUUUCACCAUCUGUAAAACCAAGAAAUGGGACUGGAUGGUUUUCAAAGCUCCUCACAGUUUGGAAACAGCGAAGCAGACCCCACCAGGACUGUACAACAUUAUGGGUAUCUCUCACAAGACUGGAAUUUCCACCAAGGCAAAGUGUAGCAACUCAAGCCACGUCUCAUAAAUCCCAGUGUUGCAUAUUCUCCUUAGUAUAUUUAAAA
rnacentral:lncRNA from 10 species